UGCUUCACAUUCCGCGUGACGUCGGGACUCGCCAACACGGAAGUGAUCGUCGAGCGGCAGUGAGAAAAAAGAAGAGAGCAGAGCGCGCGCACUGAAGAAAAAAAAAAACUAAAAACACAGCACACGCUGAAGGGGGAUUCACAGAGUGAGACAGUUGACCUGUUUGGAACAGAAAUGGUGACCCUUGACAUGGACACUGAAGGAUGGACACGUUUCCUAAUAUAUCAAUGAUACCAUCAAUCAAAAGACAAAGUCAUUGCAGAAGCAGAGCUGCAUACAAAGCAUUAAUGGCAGCAUGUAUGAACAGCACUGAACUCUUGGGCUGAAUUUUAUGGAUCACUUCCACAGUUCUGGAACCUAAAACAUCAACAGAAGAAAGGGCUGACAGGUGGCUGAAUCCAACACACAUACAGUCAUGACACACAAACAAACACAUGCAAGCCUGCACAAGACAGCAUGUAAGCAGAAAUUUUUGUGGAAUUAUGGGAACUUUAGUUUUAACAGUUUCUAUCUCUGUCUUUCUCUUAGUUUCUCAUUUAUUUUGUGACCUUUAACCUUGUUGGAAAUCAAAGGAACAAAUUAAUCACAUUCAAAUGUUGUUUUACUUUUAAGAUUGUAUGACUUGUCAAUGAAAAUCUGACAAAUGUUUUCCCUUUUUUUGUCAAUAUUGAAGGUGAGACAUGGCAAAUAAUGAUUAUAAUUAAAUUAUUGCAUUAAAAACAUAUUGUUGGCACAAAUAUGAUGAGAAAAAUACAAUGACAAAGUAAUUACUAAGGCACUAAUGUUUUUUUGUUUUGUAGAAAAAAGGGUUGAAUCAAAAAAUACACUAGAAGUGAGCAUAGCACAGACAAUGAUUACAUAG